UGGGGAAUUUUCCGCAAUGGGCGAAAGCGUGACGGAGCAAUGCCGCGUGCAGGACGAAGCCCCUCGGGGUGUAAACUGCUGUCAGGGUUUAGGAAUCCAUGACCAGACCCAAAGGAAGGACCGGCUAACUCUGUGCCAGCAGCCGCGGUAAUACAGAGGGUCCAAGCGUUGAUCGGAAUCACUGGGCUUAAAGGGUGCGCAGGCGGCGCCGCAAGUACGUUGUGAAAUCCCUCGGCUUAACCGAGGAACUGCUUCGUAGACUGCGGUGCUUGAGCAUGACAGGGGCAACCGGAACUCUAGGUGGAGCGGUGGAAUGCGUAGAUAUCUAGAGGAACGCCAAACGGGAAGCCAGGUUGCUGGGUCAUUGCUGACGCUCAGGCACGAAAGCGUGGGUAGCGAACGGGAUUAGAUACCCCCGUAGUCC
rnacentral:rRNA from 1 species